rnacentral:rRNA from 1 species
AGAGUUUGAUCCUGGCUCAGGAUGAACGCUGGCGGCGUGCUUAACACAUGCAAGUCGAACGAAGCAUUUUUUCUUCUUCGGAAGAGGAAAUGACUGAGUGGCGGACGGGUGAGUAACGCGUGGGUAACCUGCCUCAUACAGGGGGAUAACAGCUGGAAACGGCUGCUAAUACCGCAUAAGCGCACAGUGCUGCAUGGCACGGUGUGAAAAACUCUGGUGGUAUGAGAUGGACCCGCGUCUGAUUAGCUAGUUGGUAAGGUAACGGCUUACCAAGGCGACGAUCAGUAGCCGACCUGAGAGGGUGACCGGCCACAUUGGGACUGAGACACGGCCCAAACUCCUACGGGAGGCAGCAGUGGGGAAUAUUGCACAAUGGGCGAAAGCCUGAUGCAGCGACGCCGCGUGAGCGAAGAAGUAUUUCGGUAUGUAAAGCUCUAUCAGCAGGGAAGAAAAAAAUGACGGUACCUGACUAAGAAGCACCGGCUAAAUACGUGCCAGCAGCCGCGGUAA